CCCAUACUACUUAUCUACCAAGCCUUUCUUCUCGGACAUUUAUUCGCUCGAUGUCCUUCUAUUCCAUAAUCAAAUCAUCCACCUUUCUUAUAGUUGGGGCAACGAGGAGAGGUAUGUCCCUCACAGCCGCAAAUAUAACAUAUCUUCUUCCCUUUCUUCUUAACAGGUUUUCCUAAGUCAGGAUCUUCUAUCUUUCUUUUUCCCUUACCUCUCGGAGCUGCACACGAUGUGUUGCUUGAGGCUCCCAUCUGGUCAAUUUGGAUUUUCAGCUUAUUCUGCUCU
rnacentral:lncRNA from 1 species